rnacentral:tRNA from 1 species
UAUAAGGUGUCCGAGAUAUUAGGUGCUGGUUUGUAAAACCAGUUACGAGGGUGACCUCUCUUAUAAA